rnacentral:lncRNA from 1 species
UAAAGAUGUAACAGUGUUUACCCAAACGAAUCCAUUCAGUGGUAUAGCAGCUUUGUGGUCUUAUAUUCCACAUAAUUGUAUCUGUAGCACCUGGCCCAUUGUAUGUGCUAAAGAAAUAUGUGCUGUUGAAUGAUACCAUCAGAGCUAGGUGUCAGCCACUCACUUUUUUGACUCCAAAGAUAAUACUCUUGCUCAUCUCUAUGCUGGAAUAAAUUUAAGAAAUAUAACUUGUACGUGGGUCUGAAGAACCUGAGUAUAUUGGGGCAAGAUGGAGAUGAUAGCAUGAGUAAAAGGUAGACAGAAGCAAAGAGAAUAAAUUCAAUGUAUGUAUUCAUCCAACAAAUGUUUAUUAGGAUUUAUCAGACCUUUUGCUAAGUGAUGGAGACACUAUGACAAGCAAGAUAGUCACAGUCCCCAGCGUCCUUGAGCUUAUCACCCAGUGAAUACAGGGAUAGGGUGCCAUGACUGCCAAAUCAAUAAAAAUGCAAUCAAGGCCCCAGCGUUCCCACUGCACUGUUUCAGAGGAGCAGGUGAUGAGCCCAUUGAGCUUGCUGUGAUUAGACUGUGCCCAAAAAACUGCACUCAGUUGAGGAUACCAGCGUAUAUAUACAAAGCUCCAUUGUGACCAGAGGAGAGUCAACUGGGUGAUGGAGGAGAAAAAGCAUGCAACGCAGCAAUGAGGGGGUAAACUGGGCAUGAGCCUGAGAAGGAAAGGACCUUCAAGUGUACAAAAAACUACCGUGGUGAUCAUUAAGGCUGCUCUCCAGGUGUUUCCAGCUCUCUUUCUUCUGGGCAUAGGGUAAGAAACCCUUUUGGGCCCCAUUAUGGGUGAUGAAGCCAUGUGAAGAGUUCUAGUCAACAAGUUAAGAGAAUGAUAUAUGGUAUAUGUCAGCUAGAUUAUUCACUGCUAAGGAAGCCUCUCUUUCCCCUUCAGUGAGCACACUCUCUCUUUCUCCCAAUAAACGGCCAUGUUGGAACAUGAUGACUGGGUCCCUGAGUGAUUAACAUGAACUAAGAGCAACUAACACUUUCACCUGCAAGCCCUCAACCAACCCUUGAUGGAUAUUUUACAAGAUCAGCAAUAAUUAUUCAUAUUUUUAUUACUGCUAAGAUUGUGGUGGUUGUUUGCCACUGUGGCAUAACCUAGUCCAUCCUGACUAUUUUCUUGGGCUCCAAAAUUACUGCAGAUGGUGACUGCAGCCAUG